CCUACGGGUGGCAGCAGUGGGGAAUAUUGCACAAUGGGCGCAAGCCUGAUGCAGCCAUGCCGCGUGUGUGAAGAAGGCCUUCGGGUUGUAAAGCACUUUCAGCGGGGAGGAAGGCGGUGAGGUUAAUAACCUCAUCGAUUGACGUUACCCGCAGAAGAAGCACCGGCUAACUCCGUGCCAGCAGCCGCGGUAAUACGGAGGGUGCAAGCGUUAAUCGGAAUUACUGGGCGUAAAGCGCACGCAGGCGGUCUGUCAAGUCGGAGGUGAAAUCCCCGGGCUCAACCUGGGAACUGCAUUCGAAACUGGCAGGCUAGAGUCUUGUAGAGGGGGGUAGAAUUCCAGGUGUAGCGGUGAAAUGCGUAGAGAUCUGGAGGAAUACCGGUGGCGAAGGCGGCCCCCUGGACAAAGACUAACGCUCAGGUGCGAAAGCGUGGGGAGCAAACAGGAUUAGAUACCCGUGUAGUC
rnacentral:rRNA from 1 species